AGUGAACGCUGGCGGUAGGCCUAACACAUGCAAGUCGAACGGCAGCACAGUAAGAGCUUGCUCUUACGGGUGGCGAGUGGCGGACGGGUGAGGAAUACAUCGGAAUCUACUUUUUCGUGGGGGAUAACGUAGGGAAACUUACGCUAAUACCGCAUACGACCUACGGGUGAAAGCAGGGGAUCUUCGGACCUUGCGCGAUUGAAUGAGCCGAUGUCGGAUUAGCUAGUUGGCGGGGUAAAUGCCCACCAAGGCGACGAUCCGUAGCUGGUCUGAGAGGAGGGUCAGCCACACUGGAAGUGAGACAGGGUCCAGACGCCUACGGGAGGGAGCAGUCGGGAAUAUUGGACAAUGGGGGCAAGCCUGAUCCAGCCAUACCGCGUGGGUGAAGAAGGCCUUCGGGUUGUAAAGCCCUUUUGUGGGGAAAGAAAAGCAGCAGGUUAAUACCCCGCUGUUCUGACGGUACCCAAAGAAUAAGCACCGGCUAACUUCGUG
rnacentral:rRNA from 1 species